AGGAACAUACCCUUGGGUGGGGAAUAACGCCGGGAAACUGGUGCUAAUACCGCAUAAGCCCGCGAGGGGAAAGAUUUAUCGCCGAAGGAAUGGCCUAUAUCAGAUUAGAUAGUUGGUGGGGUAAAGGCCUACCAAGUCUGUGAUCUGUAGCUGAUCUGAGAGGAUGAUCAGCCACACUGGGACUGAGACACGGCCCAGACUCCUACGGGAGGCAGCAGUGGGGAAUAUUGGACAAUGGGGGAAACCCUGAUCCAGCAAUGCCGCGUGUAUGAUGAAGGUCUUCGGAUUGUAAAGUACUUUUAUGGAUGACGAUGAUGACGGUAAUCCAUGAAUAAGCUCCGGCUAACUUCGUGCCAGCAGCCGCGGUAAUACGAAGGGAGCUAGCGUUGUUCGGAAUAACUGGGCGUAAAGGGCGCGUAGGUGGGCGAGUGCGUUAGAUGUGAAAGCCCCGGGCUUAACCUGGGAAUGGCAUUUAAUACGGCUUGUCUUGAGUACGAGAGGGGAAAGCGGAAUGGCGAGU
rnacentral:rRNA from 1 species